UACGACUACAUAUCAGGCAUAUCAAUAAGCGGAGGAAAAGAAACUAACAAGGAUUCCCUUAGUAACGGCGAGUGAAGCGGGAAGAGCUCAAAUUUGAAAUCUUCAAGGUUUUACCUUGACGAAUUGUAGUUUAAAGAAGUGUUUUCUGUUGGUGUUUUGGUAAAAGUUCUUUGGAAUAGGACAUCAUAGAGGGUGAGAAUCCCGUAUUUGACCAUUACUUCCAGCGUUGUGAUACACUUUCAAAGAGUCGGAUUGUUUGGGAAUGCAGUCCAAAAUGGGUGGUAAAUUUCAUCUAAAGCUAAAUAUUGGCGAGAGACCGAUAGCGAACAAGUACCGUGAGGGAAAGAUGAAAAGAACUUUGAAAAGAGAGUUAAACAGUACGUGAAAUUGUCAAAAGGGAAGCGUUUGACACCAGUGUUGUUUUCUCGAAAAUCAAUUAAAAAGUGUUGGAUUUUGUAUUGUUAAGACCUUAUCAGCUUACUGUACUUUUUUCCUGCUCUUUUUAAUGCACUUUUCGUUUAACAAGUCAACAUCAAUUUCUUUUGUUGUAAAAGGGUCAUUGGAAGGUGGCUUUCACUUCGGUGAAAGUGUUUAUAGCCUUUGGCUUCUACAAUCGGAGAGAUUGAGGUCUGCAGCGUAGAUCCUUCGGGGUUAGAUACGUAGAUGCUAAGUUAUAGUUUUUUAUAGACAACUUGUUGACUAUGAUUAAUCAUGUAGCUUACUCGUUUACGCUAUUUUACCUACGCUUAGGAUGUUGAUCUCUCACAGUCGAGC
rnacentral:rRNA from 1 species